GACGAACGCUGGCGGCGUGCCUAAUACAUGCAAGUAGAACGCUGAAGGAGGAGCUUGCUUCUCUGGAUGAGUUGCGAACGGGUGAGUAACGCGUAGGUAACCUGCCUGGUAGCGGGGGAUAACUAUUGGAAACGAUAGCUAAUACCGCAUAAGAGUAGAUGUUGCAUGACAUUUGCUUAAAAGGUGCAAUUGCAUCACUACCAGAUGGACCUGCGUUGUAUUAGCUAGUUGGUGAGGUAACGGCUCACCAAGGCGACGAUACAUAGCCGACCUGAGAGGGGGAUCGGCCACACUGGGACUGAGACACGGCCCAGACUCCUACGGGAGGCAGCAGUAGGGAAUCUUCGGCAAUGGACGGAAGUCUGACCGAGCAACGCCGCGUGAGGGAAGAAGGGUUUCGGAUCGUAAAGCUCUGUUGUAAGAGAAGAACGAGUGUGAGAGUGGAAAGUUCACACUGUGACGGUAUCUUACCAGAAAGGGACGGCUAACUACGUG
rnacentral:rRNA from 1 species